GUUUCUUUAGAAUAGGCUGGAAUCAUAUUUGGUUCCUCUGAGAUCUUUUGAGGGAUCACCAUCACCAAGUUCCAGGUUGUUCGUUCAUGCAGUACGAUAUGGUUGCUUCAUUCUGUUAACUUGGGAGUAUUUCUCUUCCAGAAUUGCUUGCUCUUCCUUCUUUCUUUAUGCUUUUUCCUUUUACUCUCCCUCCCCUUUGCUCUUCUCUCAGGUAGACUCUGCCUGGUUUGUCACUCUGUCCUGUGUUUCCCUCUCUCCUGAACACUGAUCUCCUGAGAAGAUCAGGCGGGCAGGUGAGUGGCUGCCACACAGCCUCCGUGCUACAGAGGAAUAGCCAACAUUUCCCUCGGAGACAGCUGUUUUCCAUUUCAAGAGUAUCAACAUUGUGGCUUUGUUGAUUGUCUUUUCACCUCCAGGUUUGGCCUUGUUUGUAGCUGAAACAUAAGUAUUUUCCCUAAGCCCUUCAGGGCCACUGCUCCGGCUCUGUCAGCAGCAAGCUCUGCGUGUGUGUGCAUCCUGCCACACAGACGCCACCGGAGUCCCCAUCAGCCACACACCCUCCAACCCAGGGGAGAGAUUAAGGCAAUUGUGCUAAGGCCCACUGGUGACUUCUCCUUAGGGAGCUCCGUGACAAAGAUCAUUAAUAUGUUUCCUACAAUUUGGCCAGGAAGUGGCUGGCAGUGGAAGGAGGAAAAUAAUCAGCACAUCUGCAUGUGA
rnacentral:lncRNA from 1 species